UACGGGGGGGGCAAGCGUUGUUCGGAAUUACUGGGCGUAAAAGGGCGCGUAGGCGGUUUCGCUAAGUUGAAUGUGAAAACUCUGGGGCUUAACCCAGAGCCUGCAUCCAAAACUGGCGAACUGGAGUACUGGAGGGGAAAGCGGAAUUCCUGGUGUAGCGGUGAAAUGCGUAGAUAUCUGGAGGAACACCGGUGGCGAAGGCGGCAUCCUGGACCAACACUGACACUGAGGAGCGAAAGCCAGGGGAGCAAACCGGGG
rnacentral:rRNA from 1 species